ensembl:lncRNA
CGAAGCUAUGGUUACAUGAAAUUCUCAUGACAUCACAGAACCGUGGUUCACCCGUGCUGUUCAUUCCGUAGUUCAUAAUUUCACAAACACAAGGACUGAGAGUAUCUCAAUGUUUCAAAGAAACCAGAAAGCAGCAAAUCAAGGUAAAUGAAGAGAUCAAGUUCCUGAAACUGACGAUAAGACAACAGAGUCUAGAAUAAAAGGAAGAGUUCCAGAAACUGGCCAUAAGACAACAGAGGCUAGAACAAACGGAUGUUGAUGAACUCAUACACAGGGCACUCAGCUGUUACCGAGCUGAUGGUAUUGGAAUGACAGACUACGCGCUGGAGUCUUUAGGCACCCCUGUGAUAGCCAGUACAGAGACCAAUAAAACUAAAUACUGCAAAGUGUUUGGCAUUAGUGUAGGGUGCAACAUUAAUGGCCCUGUGUCGUGAUAGACCGACAGCCGGCGCACAAGGAACUAAAAUCGCUCCUUCCCUGACUGCCACGCUGGCGCUGAAGAGACGGCCCCUCGUCAAGAACUCUGACAGCCAGAAAGCACAUGGCGGUGGGGCAGAGCCGCCGACACACCUCGGCCAGUGAAUGGUGCGCCGCCCGGGAAAAAUCCACCAUCCAGCAGAAUAUGGGAAAGUAUCAAAGGCCGCUCUUCCUCUCGUUCGGGGAGAAUGAUCUCACAUGAGAUGUGCGCGUGGCUUCUUCAUAACACUCAUUGUUGUUUGACAUUUCCGGCGUUAACUAAUCGGCAUUCUCUCUCUCUCUCUCUCUCUCUCUCUCUCUCUCUCUCUCUCUCUCUCUCUCUCUCUCUCUCUCUCUCUCUGUGUGUGUGCGCGCGCGCGUUUGGUUUCUUUCAGAAGAUUCAGAUCCAGGCGAGGCCUCCGUUCCCUGACUGCGCGCGCGGCGUUGCCUGACGGCCCAAAAGAGCCCUCAUUUAUCCGGGAAGCACCGGCGUGACUCCGGUAAAAUCCUGCAAUUCCUGCCCGCACGCAAGCACACGGGAGCACACACACCCCCUGAAUACCAAAGAAAAGAAAAAUUAAUUUGACCACCUGACAACGGCCUCCUGUGUGUCUGUGCUCCACUCACCGCGGCUAAUUUCCUACACCCUGUAAAACCUAUACAGCCUAUAUAACUGUGGGGGAGACGCAUCAAAUCAUUAUAAUGUUAACUCGAACUGGAGGACACAAUAUAGUGUGAUACAAUAACAAAACAAUUCAUUUGUAUUUUCAUACACCAGUAAUAUAAUUAAUGUUUUACAUAUAUCUCUAUAUCCUUUUUUAUUGAAACCAUUUCUUGAAAGGAAACCAGUUGAGGUGCUGAUGACAUGAAAUAUAAAUAUUAAGUGGAAAGACGUAAUAGUGGUAUUUUUGUUACAUUCAUGUUGUAACGGAUAGCUGCACAGUGACGCAGAGGCAGAGUCCGUUCCAUUCCGUGGUGUUUUAAUUAACGGAAGAAAAAAAAAAGAGAUGAAGAGAAGGGUAUGGUCUUCGGAAGCAAUAAAAAGAACAGGUGACCAGGUGAGAGGAAGGUGGGAAUGGCGGAAUUGAUGGUGUGCGUUUGCCAGGGACCAUGCUAGUGCUCUUACUGUGGAUUAUAACCUUGUGGAUAUUGAUUCAGGAGGCUAGCAAACACUUCGAAAAUAUUCUGCCAAGGUGAAUCAACGAGCGAGCGGAGUUUUGAGGGUUCGGAGGCCCAUCACGGGUUUGAGAUCCUUUCUUUAAUACUUUUGUGGAGAACCAGUAUGCUUAAAUCGUUGGAUGUUAGAUUCUGUAAAGAACUCCGAGUGUUAAGCGGAAUCUGACUGCCGGUUUCCCAUGCUUUCGGGUUCACGAACUCCCGUAUGCCUAAAUCACCGCCAUUGAAGUGCUGCUUUAAAAGUGAACAACUUUUUUUUGUUUUGGUUAAGAAUUAUUUUGGGGUUAAAUGGGUUUUUUUUUAUUUUUAUUUUAUGUAUUUAUUCCCCCCCCCCCUGCCUUUAGUGUGUGAAAAUGUUCUUUGGGUUGAAUUAGGGUUGAAUAUGGGUUCGUCUAUUAAUCCCACGUAUGGGAACUUUUUGUUUUUUAUUAUUUCGGUUUCUAUGACUGAAACGAUCUGUAUUUUCUUACGUUUAUUGUAAGACUUGAGUAGCCUACUGAAUUUUUUGUUUUUUCUGAGUGAUGUCAAAUUAUAAGUUAUAAGUGACGGUUAAUUUGAACUGUCUGGUGCCCAAACCCCAUAAGUAAGGUACCACGCUACAAUGUUGCCAGGUUAAAAUAUUAAUUUAGCAGCUCAGUGUUGAGUUUACAAUUGCAAUUUUAAAUCUUCUUUCAAUUUAAUUAUGUUCUAGACUCAGCCGGACUCGACUCGGACUUGAGACUGACUCGGUCCCUUUUGGACUCGGACUCGAUUGGUCAAGGACUUGGUCUAGACUCGAACUCGACAAAGGUGGACUCAGACCCAAUACUUGUUAUUGGUACAUGUAAGAAAUAAAAACAGUCCACUGUUGCACCUUUUUUUUUUUUUUUUUUUUUUUUAAUAUAAGGUUAAUAGUUUGAACGUUGGGUGUCGCUAUAACAUAAAGAAGAACCUG